CCCCGGUGGUCUGGGGAUUGAAGCCUUCUCAGGGGAUGAGGAGAGACGUUUAAAUGUGGCCAACAUGAUGGUCGAGAAACGUCUGGCUGACGUCGAGCCCCAGCUGUGACACUUCGAUCUGAACCCGUCCAGUAAGGGACAGAAGGAGAGCAAGGUGAUUACUCCGAUUGAAUCGAAAGCCAGCUCCAAAGACCAUUGAGUCUGAAUACUCCUGUGUCAACUAACCUGCUGACAACACCACCUGAGACUCCUGGGCCAACUAACCUGCUGACAACACCACCUGAGACUCCUGGGCCAACUAACCUGCUGACAACACCACCUGAGACUCCUGGGCCAACUAACCUGCUGACAACACCACCUGAGACUCCUGGGCCAACUAACCUGCUGACAACACCACCUGAGACUCCUGGGUCAACUAACCUGCUGACAACACCACCUGAGACUCCUGGGUCAACUAACCUGCUGACAACACCACCUGAGACUCCUGGGUCAACUAACCUGCUGACAACACCACCUGAGACUCCUGGGUCAACUAACCUGCUGACAACACCACCUGAGACUCCUGGGUCAACUAACCUGCUGACAACACCACCUGAGACUCCUGGGCCAACUAACCUGCUGACAACACCACCUGAGACUCCUGGGCCAACUAACCUGCUGACAACACCACCUGAGACUCCUGGGUCAACUAACCUGCUGACAACACCACCUGAGACUCCUGGGUCAACUAACCUGCUGACAACACCACCUGAGACUCCUGGGUCAACUAACCUGCUGACAACACCACCUGAGACUCCUGGGUCAACUCCACUGAGCACGACCUCUAUACACUGAGAAAUGAAUGAGGUACCAGCUGACCUCCAGUCAGGAGAUGUGGUCAAGCUGAAGAAGAGCAGAGCCAAUCGUUUCCUCCGUAGACUUCUGUGCUGCUGCAUUUAGUACAAGAUAUCGUGAACCUGACCUUCUCUUCACCUGCUUUUCACAUGCCCUGCUCCACCUAGGGGCAUGCCAGUUACU